GACGAACGCUGGCGGCGUGCUUAACACAUGCAAGUCGAACGGAAAGGCCCUGCUUUUGUGGUGUGCUCGAGUGGCGAACGGGUGAGUAACACGUGAGUAACCUGCUCUUGACUUUGGGAUAACUUCAGGAAACUGGGGCUAAUACCGUAUAGGAGCUCCUGCUGCAUGGUGGGCGUUGGAAAUUUUCGGCGGUUGGGGAUGGACUCGCGGCUUAUCAGCUUGCUGGUGGGGUAGUGGCUUACCAAGGCUUUGACGGGUAGCCGGCCUGAGAGGGUGACCGGCCACAUUGGGACUGAGAGACGGCCCAGACUCCUACGGGAGGCAGCAGUGGGGAAUAUUGCACAAUGGGAGGAAGCGUGAUGAAGCAACGCCGGGUGCGGGAUGACGGCCUUCGGGUUAUAAACCGCUUUCGCCUGUGACGAAGCGUGAGUGACGGUAAUGAAUAAAGAAGCACCGGCUAACUACGUG
rnacentral:rRNA from 1 species